rnacentral:lncRNA from 1 species
ACUCUUGACUUUACAAACUCAUAUGGACUCCCAAAAAAGUUCAUAAAUCAAAAGUUUGUAAAUGGAAAUGGCAUUAAUUAACAUUGUAGACAUUUUGGGACCAAUUAAAUACUUCAUAAAAAUGUGUUGUUUUUAAAUUGGAAGUUUGUAAAACAUGAGUCCGCUGUAUAUAGCAAUUUGCAUUUUAAGAUAGGAUGGCCAUCUACCGCAAUUUUUAUGGGACAGUUCCAAAACUAGGUUGAAAUAUCUUGCAAUCAACCAAAUGAACUCUUUCUUUAUAAAUCUAAAUGACAACACUAUCUUACUACUGCUGCCAGUAAUGUACUGGUAAAUUUUUGAACUGGCUUGCUGAAAAACAUCUUCAUAUUUACCUAUAUAAAUUUAUAAAUUUUACUGAUACAAGAAAAUAGAACACAAAAUUUUCACAUAAUAUAAAAUAUUUAAUAUUCUUUAUUGCAAAUUUCAAUUGAUUCUCACAGAAUACUUUCAUUGAUUUUUGCUGAACUCUUAUGUCUAUAGUUGAACUAUUGUUGUAAUUAACAAUCACAGGUUGGUAGACAAACACAAGUUCCAAUAAAUUGCAAGUUGCAGUCAAAAAAGUGCUGCAGUUUGCAAUUUAUUGGAAUAAAACUUACAAAAACACUGAUUUACUUAGUCACCAUAUUCAAAUGCCACUCAACAAUCACUGAUGAUUUAUAAUGCAACUAUUGAGUGGAUGCACCUUUUUCAGAACAUGAAUAGGCAUGCAGUGUUUGAUUGCAAACUUUAUUUGCAAAGAAACAGUGAAAUUAUGCAUAUAAUUGUUGUUAUGUGUUUGCAAGAUCGAUUGCAUCAAACACUUCAGCUUUCCAUCCUGAAGGACCCAGCUUCAGUUCUGGGUUCCAUCCCUUGGAAAAUUUAUUCAUGGGGUCAAUGUCCCAGACCAUUAAUCCACAUCUACCACAAUCUAGAGGAUUUCUCAGCAAGAGUGGUCAUCUUGUGGUAAGACUCUAUUUUGCACUGCCAUUUAGUAUUCUACAGAGUAAUAAGUGGCAUCAUCUGUUAAUAAAAAAAAUAGUAAUUCUACUUAACAACUGGCUCGCAAAAUUCAUGAAAAUUUAACAAAUAACUUGUGAGACUGCAGUCAGUGAUAUGCUGGAGCUAAUACAUCACUACAGUAUUGCAAUGUUAUUAUUAUUAUUUUACAUUUGGUGAUAAUGAACACACUAAAAUUAAUCUUGCUAUAGUUGUAAGCUAAAUUUUACAGAUAUAUUUUUUAGUUAUAUAAUCAUUUGAAAUUUAAGAGAAAGAUUGUGAGAUAUCUGAUAAAAUGAAAGUUUGAUGUUUGAUUAUUGACAAAAUGCAAUAAUACAUUUAACUUUUUGUAUUAUAUGGUCAAAUGUAUAUAUAUUUUGUUAUUUGUUUACCAUAGGGUAAUAUGUAAUAGAGAGAGAGGGUGCCUGAGGGCAAUAAAAAAAACACUUCUUUACUAGAACAGCUAGAGUCUGGUUGUGUGUGCCUGUGUGCUAGUCCUUUACCAUACAAACAAUACAUGGUGGCAGUGGAAAAAACUGACUGAAACAAUUGGAGAAUCAGGCGUAUCUUAUUGACUGUUAAGUA